rnacentral:rRNA from 1 species
CCAGUUGGCAUAUGCUCGUCUCUAAGAUUAAGCCAUGCAUGUCUGAGUUCAUACCUAGUAAACGUGAGACUGCGAAAGGCUCAGUAGGACAGUUAUAGUUUAUUCGAUUGUGAAAUCCACAUGGAUAACCGUGGAAAAUCUAGAGCUAAUACAUGCGAAAAAGUGCCUUCCAAGGGAGCAAUCCUUUGGGAGGUGAUGCAUUUAUUAGAUUAGACCAAUCGAUGCUUCAGUAGCUUGCUGCUGUAGUGUCGCUGUGGUGAGUCUGGAUAACUGUGCCGAUCGUAUGGCCUUGAGCCGGCGACAUUUCGAUUAAAUUUCUGCCCUAUCAACUUGUUGGUAAGGUAGUGGCUUACCAAGGUGAUAACGGGUAACGGGGAAUCAGGGUUCGAUUCCGGAGAGGGAGCCUGAGAAACGGCUACCACAUCCAAGGACGGCAGCAGGCGCGCAAAUUACCCAAUCCAGACACUGGGAGGUGGUGACGAGAAAUACCAGGUCGUUCCCAAAAGGAUUCGACACUGGAAUGAGUUUAAUUUAAAAAUUUAAACGAGAAACAACUGGAGGGCAAGUCUGGUGCCAGCAGCCGCGGUAAUUCCAGCUCCAGUAGUGUAUCCAAAAGUUGCUGCGGUUAAAACGCUCGUAGUUGGACAAGAGAGUAGCUUGGUGCGGGCGGGGAGUGUGAUUGCACUACGUGUUCGCACUUGCUGUCGACGCUGUUUGUUUCACUCUGUGAGCAGGUAGUGUCGGCUCAAGUUGUGGGGCGUAGUUGUGCACUUGUCGACCAUGCUGCCAGGCUCCUCGUAAUGUUUCGUGAGAAUGGUACAUGGUCUUGAUUGUACUGUGUACCCUGCCUCACGUAGUGUGCCUUGAAUAAAUCAGAGUGCUCAAUGCAAGCUUUCGCUUGAAUGUCUUAGCAUGGAACGAAUGUAUAGUGAGAACGAGUUUGGGGCGCCCUCGGGCUGCCACUUACUCGUAGCACCAACCGCGAAGCGGAACAUUGGUUGCCGACUUCGGGUGAGGAUUAAGAGGGGCACUUGGGGGCAUUAGUAUUUGGCCGCGAGAGGUGAAAUUCUUGGACCGGCCAAGGACUGACAAGUGCGAAAGCAUUUGCCAAGGGUGUUCCCUUUAAUCAAGAACGAAAGUGAGAGGUUCGAAGACGAUCAGAUACCGUCCUAGUUCUCACCGUAAACGAUGCCAACCCGGGAUGAGUCCGGAUGAAUCAUUUGGAUCCAGGUUGGUCCCCCUGGGAAACCUUGAGUUUUUAGGUUCCGGGGGGAGUAUGGUUGCAAGGCUGAAACUUAAAGGAAUUGACGGAAGGGCACCACCAGGGGUGGAGCCUGCGGCUCAAUUUGACUCAACACGGGAAAACUCACCUGGUCCGGACAUCGAUAGGAUUGACAGACUAAUAGAUCCUUUUCAUGAUACGUGGGUGGUGGUGCAUGGCCGUUCUUAGUUCGUGGAGCGAUCUNUCAGGUUGAUUCCGGUAACGGACGAGACCAUGUUCUCCAUUUGGGGAAACGCAAGCCGGGAGCAUGGAGCGUCCGGAUGGUGUUUGACUUCGGUUGGACGCUCGUCUAGGCGCUUGGGCUCUUCGGAAUUGCGGUGCGCGUGCAGCAAUGCACGUCCCUAUGGAGAGACAGCCGGAUUGUAAGGCGGAGGAAGCGUGGCAAUAACAGGUCUGUGAUGCCCUUCGAUGUUCAGGGCCGCACGCGCGCUACAAUGAUAACGACAGCGAGAGUCUGGACUGAAAAGUCCUGGGCAAUCUGUGAAUCGUUAUCGUGAUGGGGAUUGAGCAUUGUAAUUGUUGCUCAUGAAAGAGGAAUCCCUUGUAUACGUGUCUCACUUAGGACACGUAGAAUGCGUCUCUGCCCUUUGUACACACCGCCCGUCGCUACUACCGAGUGAAUGGUGUCAWGAUGUCUUGGGACUGGACAUUGUUGGUGGCGGUA